CCAGGCAUGCAAGGUUGGUUCAACCUAUGAAAAUCUAUAAAUGUAAUUCAUCAUGUAAAUAGAUUGAAAGAUAAGAAUCCUGAUCAUCUCAGUAGAUGCAGAAAAAGCAUUUUACAAAAUACAGCACCCCUUCAUGUUCAAAACCCUAGAAAAACUAGGGAUAACAGGAAUAUAUCUCAACAUUGUAAAAGCUAUUUAUGCUAAGCCUGAGGCCAACAUCAUUCUAAAUAGAGAAAAUUUGAAGGCAUUCCCUCUAAAAACUGGAACAAGACAGGGAUGCCCUCUUUCACCACUUCUAUUCAACAUAGUUCUUGAAACACUGGCCAGAGCAAUUAGACAGAUGAAAGAAAUUAAAGGGAUACAGAUAGGAAAAGAAGAACUCAAUUUAGCACUAUUUGCUGAUGAUAUGAUUCUAUACCUAGAAGACCCAAAAAAUCCCACCAGAAAACUUCUAGAACUAGUAAAUGAAUUCAGUAAAGUAGCAGGAUACAAAAUCAAUACCAAUUAAUCAAAGGCAUUUCUGUACAUCAGUGACAAAUCCUCUGAAAGGGAAACGAGGAAAACUACCCCAUUUACAAUAGCCUCAAAAAAAGUAAAAUACUUGGGAAUCAACUUAACAAAAGAGGUGAAAGACCUCUACCAGUAACACUACAGAACACUAAAGAAAGAAAUAGAAGAAGACCUUAGAUGAUGGAAGGAUCUCCCUUGUUCUUGGAUAGGCAGAAUUAAUAUUGUCAAAGUGACCAUACUACCAAAAGCAUUAUACAGAUUUAAUGCAAUUUCA
rnacentral:lncRNA from 1 species